CUUGCUUCUCUUGAGAGCGGCGGACGGGUGAGUAAUGCCUAGGAAUCUGCCUGGUAGUGGGGGAUAACGUUCGGAAACGGACGCUAAUACCGCAUACGUCCUACGGGAGAAAGCAGGGGACCUUCGGGCCUUGCGCUAUCAGAUGAGCCUAGGUCGGAUUAGCUAGUUGGUGGGGUAAUGGCUCACCAAGGCUACGAUCCGUAACUGGUCUGAGAGGAUGAUCAGUCACACUGGAACUGAGACACGGUCCAGACUCCUACGGGAGGCAGCAGUGGGGAAUAUUGGACAAUGGGCGAAAGCCUGAUCCAGCCAUGCCGCGUGUGUGAAGAAGGUCUUCGGAUUGUAAAGCACUUUAAGUUGGGAGGAAGGGUUGUAGAUUAAUACUCUGCAAUUUUGACGUUACCGACAGAAUAAGCACCGGCUAACUCUGUGCCAGCAGCCGCGGUAAUACAGAGGGUGCAAGCGUUAAUCGGAAUUACUGGGCGUAAAGCGCGCGUAGGUGGUUUGUUAAAGUUGGAUGUGAAAUCCCCGGGCUCAACCU
rnacentral:rRNA from 1 species